rnacentral:rRNA from 1 species
CGCGUAGGUGGUUGUGUAAGUCAGAUGUGAAAUCCUUCGGCUCAACUGAAGAACUGCAUCUGAUACUGCACGACUCGAGUACAGGAGAGGGAAACGGAAUUCCAGGUGUAGAGGUGAAAUUCGUAGAUAUCUGGAGGAACACCGGUGGCGAAGGCGGUUUCCUGGCCUGAUACUGACACUGAGGCGCGAAAGCGUGGGGAGCAAACAGGAUUAGAUACCCUGGUAGUCCACGCCGUAAACGGUGAGUACUGGGUGUGGGAGGUGUAAUGCCUUCUGUGCCGAAGCUAACGCGUUAAGUACUCCGCCUGGGGAGUACGGCCGCAAGGUUGAA